rnacentral:rRNA from 1 species
GACGAACCGUGCAAACGUUGUUCGGAAUCACUGGGCUUAAAGGGCGCGUAGGCGGUCGGUCAAGUCCGGGGUGAAAUCCUGCAGCUCAACUGCAGAAGUGCCUUGGAUACUGACUGGCUCGAGGGAGGUAGGGGUGGGUGGAACUUCUGGUGGAGCGGUGAAAUGCGUUGAUAUCAGAAGGAACGCCGGUGGCGAAAGCGACCCACUGGACCUUUUCUAACGCUGAGGCGCGAAAGCUAGGGGAGCAAACGGG